rnacentral:rRNA from 1 species
CCUACGGGUGGCAGCAGUGGGGAAUAUUGCACAAUGGGGGAAACCCUGAUGCAGCGACGCCGCGUGAGUGAGGAAGUAUUUCGGUAUGUAAAGCUCUAUCAGCAGGGACGAAAAAAGACGGUACCUGACUAAGAAGCCCCGGCUAACUACGUGCCAGCAGCCGCGGUAAUACGUAGGGGGCAAGCGUUAUCCGGAUUUACUGGGUGUAAAGGGGGCGUAGACGGCAAGGCAAGCCAGAAGUGAAAGGGCAGGGCUCAACCCUGGAAAUGCUUUUGGAACUGUGCUGCUGGAGUGCAGGAGAGGUAAGUGGAAUUCCUGGUGUAGCGGUGAAAUGCGUAGAUAUUAGGAGGAACACCAGUGGCGAAGGCGGCUUACUGGACUGUAACUGACGUUGAGGCUCGAAAGCGUGGGGAGCAAACAGGAUUAGAUACCCUUGUAGUC